UGACAACCAAAAUAAACUUAAAAACCUUGAACUCGUGCCUGAACAGUAGAUAGUUACUAUUUUAUCAGCUAACAUACUGACUAGUCUAUAGUGGAUCUGACUGACUGAUGCUGUCAAGCUGACAACCAGUAAUAUUUCAGAGAUCUGAGAAGGGUAUACUUUAUCCGAAUCUACUAAAAAGUGACAGAAGCCAGUCUAUAUACAGUUAGCCAAACCCAAGUUUCUCCAUUACUGUUGGAGGCAGCUGUCUCAAAGAACAGCAAUCUUCGCCAGGCCUAUACUGUGAGAGUUUUUUCCUCUCUGUGGAAGAGGGACAUGGAAAAGACUGACCUUGUUUUGUCUAGGCAAAGGGGUGCAAUCAAUUUUCCAGUGUCCAGCAGCUUUGUCCACAGUCUCGGCUAGGUUCUGGCAGUCUGUCUGACAUUAUAAACUUUAAAGAUAACAAUUUAAAUGCCAUAUUCUGAAGAUCUCUGAAGCAUUAGAGGUCUGUUUGUCUGUUUUAGUUACUUGCCUUAAGCACACAUUAAGCAUACAGGUGGCUAGGUAAGGUCUUAUUUCUGUAAAUGAUUUAGUCUGACUGUAACUGGUUUUAACUUAGUAAAAUGUUUGAAACAGCACAGCUGAACUUAAAACUGCAUAGAGCUACCUUAUAUUCCUUAAACAGUAGCUUAACUUCUUUCUGAGGCAGGGUUUUUCUGUGACUUUGGAGCCUGUUCUGGAAUUCGAUCUGCCGGACCAGGCAGGCCUUGAACUCAUAAAGAUCCAUCUGCCUCUUCCUCCCGAAUGGUGGGAUUAAAGGCGUGUGCCAUCUACACCCUGAGCUUAAAGGUGUGUGUCACCAACAUUCUAAACUUAACUUCUGAAAACACAAACUGUACCGUCUUAUAUAGAUCAGCAUCUUUUAUAAAACAAGAACUUUACACUGUCAGGCUUUGCUUAAAAAUAAUUCUAAAUUGAAGCUCUUUAAGUACAAACAUUAAUAAAAAUAAACAUUUGAAAA
rnacentral:lncRNA from 1 species